UACGUAGGGUGCGAGCGUUGUCCGGAAUUAUUGGGCGUAAAGAGCUCGUAGGCGGUCUGUCGCGUCGAUCGUGAAAACUUGGGGCUUAACCCUGAGCUUGCGGUCGAUACGGGCAUGACUGGAGUUCGGCAGGGGAGACUGGAAUUCCUGGUGUAGCGGUGAAAUGCGCAGAUAUCAGGAGGAACACCGGUGGCGAAGGCGGGUCUCUGGGCCGAUACUGACGCUGAGGAGCGAAAGCGUGGGGGAGCAAACAGG
rnacentral:rRNA from 1 species